AUUGAACGCUGGCGGCAGGCUUAACACAUGCAAGUCGAGCGGAGCGGCGGACGCGAGCGUAAUGGCUAUGUAUUUGCCUGGACGUGGGGGAUAACGUUCGCAAAUCGGCGCUAAUACCGCAUACUAUCAGUUUAGCAUAGGUCGGAUUCGCUUGUGGGUGGGGUAAAGGCCUACCAAGGCGACGGUCCGUAACUGGUCUGAGAGGAUGAUGAGUCACACUGGAACUGAGACACGGUCCAGACUCCUACGGGAGGCAGCAGUGGGGAAUAUUGGACAAUGGGCGAAAGCCUGAUCCAGCCAUGCCGCGUGUGUGAAGAAGGUCUUCGGAUUGUAAAGCACUUUUGUUUGGGAAGCGGUACCAAAAGAAUAAGCACCGGCUAACUUCGUGCCAGCAGCCGCGGUAAUUC
rnacentral:rRNA from 1 species